GGGGCAGGGACAGGGACUCAUCCAAUCCACACACGCAGAUCAGAGCACCUGAAAGGAAAGGUUCUUUGUGGCAAAUGUGAGCUUCUCAAGUCCAUGGGGACAAGCUAGGGUCUCCUCUCCAACUGAAGGAGAUGCAGGAAGUAGCUUGGCGGGGAGCAGCAACCCCCUCAUCCCCCGGUAAGGCACUCUGGUUUUGUGUGGUUGUUAAUGGGUGCUACCUCCCCAAGGGGGAAGGGUUCUAUUAUGAAAAUUGUUUGGGAAACACGGAGUCAAGCAAUAUUAAAUUGGAGAGACUCAGACCUCUGAGUCUGUCACAUGUGCGUGUGAGUUGUGAGUCUCCAAGGUAAGAGAAAAAAAAAAUACCUUUUUGGGGGGUUUGAGGCUGGACUUUUUGGUAUCCAAGGAACAUAUCUGGGGAAGGACUAGUACAGCAAAGCCAUGUCUCCCAACCAUCUGUGCUUUCUUUUCCCCUGUUGGGUCUCAGUUUCCAUUUUGGACAAGUGGAAGAAUGACCCCCCACUCUUUCCCUCCUAAGGCCUCUGGAGAGCUCACCUUCACCGUGUCUUUGUUGGUCCAGCCCUCCCUCCAAGGCUCAGGUUGAAUUUCAUCUCUUCUAAGAAGCCCUUUUUUUUUUUUUUUUAAAGAUUUUAUUUAUUUAUUUGACAGAGAUCACAAGUAGGCAGAGAGGCAGGCAGAGAGAGAGAGAGAGAGGAGGAAGCAGGCUCCCUGCAGAGCAGAGAGCCCAACGCGGGACUCGAUCCCAGGACCCUGGGAUCAUGACCUGAGCCAAGGCAGAGGCUUUAACCCACUGAGCCACCCAGGCGCCCCUCUUCUAAGAAGCCCUUUUAAGGAUUCUUGAAGUUGUCAGUGCUGGUUGAUCUACUGUGUGACCCAGUUGCUCUCCAGAUGUUUGAGGGUUAUGGGGGUACGGUCUUUGAGAGGAAGGAACAUCACUCACACCUGUCCAACAACAUCUUAGGAAGGUCUGACCCACGGCAGGUGCCCGGGGAACAGUUACUAAAGGAUUUCAUCCAUCUCUUAUUACACACACAGAGCAUAAGGCCCGAGCACUUGCCCCAGCCCCAUGUUCAUGCCGUUUGGGCCAGUCUGAUCUCAGCUUCAAUGUCACCUCAGAGAAGACUCCCUGACCACUCUGUCUUAAGAAGCUCUUAUGACGUUGCCUUGAUGUAUCCUUGAUACAUCAGGGAUGUUUAGUCUUCUCUCCAUGAUCAUGGUCAUUUCCCACUUCUUCCUCCCCAAGUAUGCUUGCAGACAGCAGAAGCCAGAGCUCUUUGUGCCUCAUCCUUGUGGUCUCUGCACGAACUACAGUGUCUGGAUUAUGGUGGCUGCUCAGUAAUUAUUAUUGGAUAAAUGAACAAAGGAACACAUUAUACAUUUUAUACAAUAAAUUAAACAAGAACACUGAGGCCCAAGGUCACUCAGAGUAGCAGUCCAGCAGUGGUUCCACUUGGACAUGAUCACUCCCGACCCUCACUCUCGUGCUCUUGGCCAAUGCACCAUCACCACAGACACACAUCUGCAGCCUUUUCUUCCCCUCUGCCCUGGAUAUUCCCCCAGACAAAGACCAUAGCAAUUUCCAGCUUACCCAGAGACAUACAGGUCACACUGAAGUUCUCUCCCCAUUGGACUGAUGUUGCUGAAACUUGGUCGGUGGUGUGGGGGAGGAAGAUGGAUGUGCUAUGGAGAAGAUGGGAGAGAAAUGGGGACAAACCUGUUGAACUGAUUGUUGGAAUGACUGAAUGAAAUGAAUGAGUGGAAUGGUUGUGUUCAUAGAGGACGAAUGGUUGGGUUGGUUGAAUUGAUAGAUGAAGGGUAGCUGAUGGAACAGGUCAUCUGAUGGAGAAUGGGUGAAUAGGGUGAUGGAUUUGAAGGAAGGCGGAUAAUGGAAUGGUGUGGCAUGACUGAGAAUGAGUGGAUAGACAGCCUUCCGGAUGCAAGUUUUUUCAAUAGCUGAUUGGCUUGCUGGCUGGACAAGACAGUUGACUACAUGGGUGUGUUGUUGAAAGUUGGUUGGUUGUUUAGAGUUCCAAAAUCCAAAGAACCCAAAUCUGAGGUCCCUAAAGGAGGCAUUUCUCCCCAUAUCCUCCCUUGCCCUGCCCACCCAGGCCCUAGGCCCGUGCACAGUUGGUGUAGAUCAGCAUCUACUUAGUAGAGAUUUGUCUCAAGCCACUGAGGCAGCCAAGCAGAAAAGGGAGCCAGCCGAGGAAGCUAGGGGCCAGUGGAUGGUGAAGCCCUUCUCCACAUUGAAGGAGAUGUCAGUCCCAUUCCAUCCACUGGGACUUCCUCCAGUGGGAACUGCUGAGGCAGUGUCCCCUGGGCCAGAGGGUUGGUCACCUGGAAGGGAAGCAGGACUAGCGGAUGGCUGCACAAUUGGACCAGCUCAUAAUAAUCCUCGGAGGGGAGGGGGACAAAGAGGUGCUCUGGGUCUGGGAAGAAAAGAGGGGGGAAGAAGAAUGAGCUUGACCUAGACACGUUGUUUAAUGGGGCUCCAUGACCCACCAGCAUGAAGUCCCUCCGGGCAGGCCAGAAUCGCCUCAAAAGGCCGGCAAGCCCUUUCCUCUACUCACCCCCCUGGGGAGCCGGCCUCAGGGCUGGCAGAUAGGGCCUGCCAUGCCCCUAGGCCCUAACCCUAGGUUGGGUUUUCAGGCUUCAGCCCCAGAGGCCUGGCCCUCAAGCUCUCCAGAUUGGGGACCCCUGAGCCACACCCCAGGACUCUGGCUGCCACCCAGAAGGAAUUCACACCCUUUGGAGCUGCGCAAAACCCUAAGAGUGGGAGAAACUGGCAUGCCCCGCUGAGGCCACCCACACAUUUGGUGCCCCCCCCAGACACAAAGCUGGAGCCUGAUGCCCCGUCUCACCACUGUCCUCCACUCAGCCCCCUGGGGAGCCCGCCUCAGUGCCAGCCCAUUGGUCCUGCCAUGCCCCUAGCCUAGAAUUCUAACUCUAGGUUGGGUUUUCUGGCUUCCAUCCCCAGAGACCUGGCACCCAAGCCCUCCAGAUUGGAGACCACUGAGCCACACCCCAGGACUCCACCUGCCACCCAGGAGAAAUCCAUGCCAUUUGGAGCUGCACAAAACCCUCAGAGUGGGAGAAAACUGCAUGACACCCUCCCCCGAGGCAUCCCCACCUUCAGCGCCCCACCGGGCCAUAAACACGGAGGCUGACAGUUGAACCCCCUCCCUCCACACUGCCCCCAGAAAUCUCCCCUGGGCGGGGGCCCUCAAAUAAGCCACGGGGACCCAGCCUGUGUUACCGGAUGUUUGCAAAGGGCACCUAGUGAGAAAGCGCUCUAGACCGCGGGCACCAGCACGGCCAGAAUCGCUGCCCAACGCUGGCCAGUUUUUCAUGGGCUUUCUGCCCAAAUCGAUGUUGGUUUAGGCUUAGGGUUAGGGCUUAGGGACUUGGCAGGCCCGAUUUGCCAGCGCUGAGGAGGAAUCCCCAGGGGGCUGAGUUGAGGGCAUGCGUCCGGCCGCACAACAGAAUCUGGGUUUGUAGUGGGGAUGCGGGGGGUGACCACUGAUUGUGUAUGUGGCUUUAGGGGACCAUGCAGGUUUCUCCCUUCCAGGGGGAGUUCAGGCCAGUUCCCAAGAGUUUCUGCCCAAAUCGAUAUCAAUUUGAGCAGAAAGCUCGUGAGAAUUAGCCGGUGUGGGGCAGUGAUUGGGCCCAUGUUGGCGCCCACAGUUAGAGCACUUUCUCGCUAGGUUGUGUUGUGGGCAUCAGGGAACACGGGCCAGGCCCAUGCAGCCCCCCUGAGGGCCCCUACACAGGGGAGCUUUCUGGGGGCAGAGUUGAGGGAGGGGCUCUGACUGACAGUCAGCUUCCAUGUUUGCAGCCCGGUGGGGCACUAAAGGUGGGGUGGCCUCAAUGGGAGCAUGCAGGUUUCUCCUGAUCUGAGGGUUUGGCGCAGCUCCGGGUGGCACAGGUUCCUCCUCAGUGGUAGGCGGGGUUCUGGGUGUGGCUCAAUCUGGUCCCUAGACCAGAAGUUCUGAGGUCCUCAAUCUGGAGGGCUUGGGGGCCAAGUGUCUGGGGACAGAAUCUUGAAAACCCAGGCUAGGUUUAGGAUUAGGGCCUAGGGCCUUGGCAGGCCACAUCUACCAGUGGUGAUGCUGGAUUACUGGGGGGCUGAGUCGAGGACAGUGAUCAGGCGGCAUGUCAGGUUUUGUGUCCAGGGGGACCACCGGAUGUGGGGUGGCCCCAGUGAGGCAUGCGGUUUCUCCCACUCUGAGGGUUUUGCGCAGUUUGGAAUGGCACAGUUUCCUCCUGGGUGGCAGGCAGAGUCCUGGCGUGCAGCUCAGGGGUCCCCAAUCUAGAGGGCUUGGCGGACAGGUCUCUGGGAUGGAAGCAUGAAAACCCAACCUAGGGUUUGGGUUAGGGCCUAGGGGCAGGGCGGAUCUGAUCUGCCAGCGCUGAGGAGGGCUCCCCAGGGGGCUGAGUUGGGACAGGCAUCAGGAAGCAGGUCAGGCUGUAAGUUUGUGGCCAGGGAGGGCCGUCGACGGUAAGGGUGGCCUCAGGGAGACAUAUGGGUUUGUUCCAUUCUGAGAAUUCUGCGCAGCUCCAAACGUCACGGUUUCCUCCCAGGUGGCAGGUGGAGUCCUGGAGUGUGGCUCAGACGUCCCCAAUCUGGAGGAAUAGUGCCAGUGUGGCUUUAGACCUGCGGAGACAUUGGGAGCUGCUUUAGGAGUCUUUGGAAGACCGGGCAGUGCCGGUUCACGCCACUGGAGGGAGCGGUGAGCUUGGUGAGCUGUAUAGUCUCUGUUUCUCCAGGCUCAGGAGUGGUGGUAACAAUCCCUGGAGCUGGACCCUCACUCAGCAUUGUGCCCCGUUUUCCCAGGAAUCAGAGCAGGUGAGCGGGCUGUCGGGGGGAGGUGCCUGCUUAGCCCCGCCUGACAACCCUUCUUCACUCUGGCUCCACAAGACCUGAAGUUUGGAAAUCAGCAACAGAGUCAGUCAUGCAGCUUGCCCCAGGACCUCCGCGUUCAGGGAAAACAGCAGGCCCAUUAGGCGCAAUGUCACAUCCGUGCCAGGAUAGGAGGUAAAC